rnacentral:rRNA from 1 species
GGCUCACCUAGGCGACGAUCCCUAGCUGGUCUGAGAGGAUGACCAGCCACACUGGAACUGAGACACGGUCCAGACUCCUACGGGAGGCAGCAGUGGGGAAUAUUGCACAAUGGGCGCAAGCCUGAUGCAGCCAUGCCGCGUGUGUGAAGAAGGCCUUCGGGUUGUAAAGCACUUUCAGCGGGGAGGAAGGCGGUGAGGUUAAUAACCUCA